GCACCGGCCUGGCGGGCCUCGGCGAACGCCUCGCCGCCGCCGGCGGCGAGUUCGCGGCCGGUCCCGCGGGCGACGGGACGUUCCGGGUGACCGCCGCCGUCCC
rnacentral:tRNA from 1 species